GCCAGGUUUUGGAAAAGAGGAUUCAUGUCACCAUGUGAGGAAUUGAACCAGCAGAGAGAAAGGUUGUCCUGCUCUAGUGGCGUAGUGCAUUUUUCACUACAUCUGGAGCGUGACAUUUUUUCUCUAUGCUGAGACGCACCUGUGGUGUGAAAAAAGGAAGACGGUUGACAGGCGAGACAGUGAUAAACAACAUCAUUAAUUUUCAUUAAUUUUACAGGUUUUUAUUUUAAAUGGCCUAUUUUGAAGUCUGUAUACUCUGACAAUUAAAGGAUGAUAAAGACAAGGAUUGCUACCUUUACUGU